ensembl:lncRNA
UCCAUUUAGUUUCAUCAGUCUUGUAAAACAAUGAGUAGGCCUAGUCAUGUUUGUUUUCUGCAUGCAUUCGUAUGGUCAAGGUGACUCUUUGCUAAUGCGUGUAAUAAAAGAAUUGUGUAGCGGGAAAUGCUUACAGCUGUCUGUAGCACUCUGCUUCCAUGACAAGAUCUUUUAGUUUUCCUACAUGUUGCAUCAUAAAGAACAGACAAAAGGAAAGUUGCAUGGUCAGUAAAACAUUUCAGUGGACUAUCUUAAGGUUAGUCCAUCAUGUAGGAGUUCAUUUUUUAUUUUUGUUUUGCAGCUGAGAGAUUUGAGAAGAAUAAGAGAACAAUUGACUGAAACAAAAAGAAAUGUAUGAGAAGGUGGAGGGGCAGAGGAUCAGACAGACGGGAGGAACCAAGACUCAUUUACACAGAUGAACAUGUGGACGAAAGUCAGGUGGUUCCAGGUGCACCUGUCGUAGGCCUACUCUUCCUCCAGGCUGGGAACAUUGCCCCCUUGUAGUGCCUGAACUUCGGCUGAGUCGGGUGGCAGCCUCCCAUUUGUUAAAUGCUACAUGAGGUGACUGGAGCUUCUCUGCCCGUCGCUGAGAGGACAGAUGGAGAGGGCACGGAAUGUUCUGGAGAGCCGAUGGUAAUUACAAGCCAGUAGCAGAGCCGAUGGCUUCCGCAGGGAACAGGCCUGAGCGGAAGCGCUCGAGUGGCGUGGGGGGUUGUUUGCCCUUUGGCUGCUCAGCAUGCUGUUGCUCUGCGCGGUGAGCUCGUGUUGGGACUGCCGUCACUGCACAUUUCUCCGCUCUUCAUGUCAGGUGAGGUGUGUGUGGGAACAUGGUGACAUUUGUGAGCUUUUGUCAUUCACAAGGAGUUUAACUCUUCAGAUGUGUUUCCAGUUCUAUUCGUUUCAGUAGAUAACUGAUGGAAGUCGCAGAUGUGUACAAAAGAAUUUUAUGGAUCAGUCCACCCAAAAAUAAAAUAAUUAUCAUCAUUUACUCAUGUCGUGAUCAAAAGUGAUAUUUACAGUGAGUUUUCUUCAUACAUCAUAUCUCUCAUUUUAUAUUCUCUGACACUUGUCUCCUUGGUAACCAAGUACACUAACUUUUAAAAACUUACAGUAUUUAAUGACAUUAUUGUUGUUUGUGUACACCAAUUGUAUAUAAAUCAUAAAUUUGUUGAUUAUUUUUAUUUCACUUUUUUUCCACUCAAUUCUGAUACUUAAUUCUGAUUUUUUUUUAUGGAUUUAUUAUAGUUUAAUAUAAGGCUACAACAAUAAAAUCACAUUUAAUCAUUUAAUAAUAUUUCUAUUCAUUGGAUUUUAUAAUUCAUAAUUGUAACCUUGUACUUCACAACUGCAACCUUUUUCACGUCAUAUAUUAAGCUUUCUCACAAUAACUAAUAUUUCUUAAAAUUGUGACUUUAUAUCUCAUAACUCUGUCUUUUUCCCAUAUUUUAAAAGUUUUAUAUUUCAUUUCUUUUAAUAAUAUAAAAUAGAUUUGAAAUGUAGCAACAAUGAAUGAGGGCAUACUAAAAUAUUUCAGUGCCUUGUAAACUUUUUAUCAUGAAUCCAUCAUUACUACCCAUGUAUACAUUUUUAUUUGUCAGUUUUAUUAUUUUACCCUUGUCCCUGACUUUCAGUCUUAACUAUAACAAGCCAUUAUAAAAAUAUGAAUUAAUAAAUAUUUAAAACUAUGAUGUGAACAAAGAGUUAAAUAAAAAUAAUCCAUUUUGAUGUUUAUUGUGUAAAAAUUACUUUAUGAUUUUUUUUUUACACAAAUUAUGACUGUACCUCAUUUGUGGUGCCCACAAACAAGUUAUUUUGUAGUUACUGUACUUGGUUACAAUAGAGACAAAAUUGUUUCAAUGUAACCUUUAUAAAAAGGGGGCAUUAAAUCUGUUAGUUUUAAUAAAACCAAACCUUAAGAUAUAAAAAGUGCAAGAAGUUGGAGAAACACCCUUAUAUCUUUUCACAUCUGAUCAGUCAUCUGCUCAACAUCUCAAGAGCGUCCUGUCUGCAGGUGAUUAAUUACUUUGUCAGCCGUCAGUCUCAGAAAAUGAGAGGUGAGGGGGAAAAAAGAAGAAAAGGGAGGAGUAUGAGGGAAAGUGAGCGGGCACAGCUUUGCAGGAUGCUGAAAUGUAGCUCUGCAAUCCCCAUAGGGCUCAUAUUAAUGAGGGUGCAGAGAAAGUUAACAACUCACAUUAAGCACUAAUGCAUUCUUUAAUUAAUUAAGUGCUCAUUUAUAAAUAUCCAACACAUCCUGUACACGUUCAAUCUGACUUAACAAUAACAUAUUAACGAUUCCUGUUCCAGGCAUAACAUAUUUAAAUGUCAUUGAUACUCCAACAGCUAGAUAAACAUACUCUGAAACUCUAUUAACAGCAUUAGGUGAUGUCUGGAGCAGCACGAAUUCCCCUGCAAUUCUCUCAUAAUUACAAAUUAAUUUCACAUUUAAUGUAUGAACACAGCCAUGGUGAAAUUUAGUUAAUUAGUUGAUUAAAAUGCAUAGUUCAAAGUAAAAACUGAGCAAUUUUGAGCCAUUUAGUGAAUCAUUUUGUAGUUAUUGGACAGCUUUAACACUCUUCCUUUUCAUUAUUUUAUAAGCAGGUUCUUAGACCUGGAUGAUGCAGUUAAGACUCAAAUGUGUGCAAUACUAUAGAAAAUGCCUUUAUUAUCAUUACUGUUUGAUAAAGCGGCCACAUUCAGCUCAGACAGAACUGCCAGCGCAAAUGUAAGUAACCUAUCACACACACACACACACACACACACACACACUGAGCUUUGAGGUGAGUGUUAAUCUCUGAGGUGUGUUAGGAAAGCACAGAAGGAAGGAGAUAUCAAAUAAAGCUCAUGUAAAAAUAUUCUAGAGAAAUGAUUUACUAAAAAGCAUCCUAGUAAAAUUUAGAUAAGUAAAAACUCCAUGUGCCAUUCCAGUUUUAGCCCAAUACGAUGGGUUUCAUGAGAAGGAUAACAUGAUAAAGACGUGUUUGAACAUAUAAUCUCUGAGGAAAGAUUCCUCUGGGUUAAAUUCAAAAGAAUCACUUUAUGCACAUCGUUUUUCUCAGCAAAAGCAGGAAUACAUCUCUCACAUAGCUCUCUCAUACCUUAAUACUGAGACAAAGAAACACAUACAAGCUGCUAAAAAUAAACUGGCAUGCAUAGUCAGAAUGUUGACAAUAAAACCAAAAAAACACCCCUCAGGAUGUUAACAAUCCCGACACUCGAAAAUAAAAGCAACCCUGUUAAUAAAACGCUUCGUUUCCAGACAAAAUGCUUAACAGCCGUCUCUCAGAGUCGGUUUCAACAUGUUUGAAAUCAAUCAGAAUAUUUAAACCCGUGGAAGCAGACAAUCUGUGUAGAGCUGCGCACCUCCUCAUUGGAGAGGAACUUCACUUUUGGCACAGUGUGUUUCAUUUUUCAUGAAGCUGCACCUCCUUGUUCCCUGCAGGCGUCUCCUCGGUGUUCUUGCUGAAUGUGUGUGUGCUGAACAAAAGCCUUGGUUGUUUACGUCAAGGUAUCUCCUUGCGGUUGGGUGAUGAAGAGCAGGUGGCCUCAUUUGCAGAGAGCACUUCCUCAGAAGCAGCACCUUCACUGCCUCCUCUUCCUCCACGUGGCUGUCGGGCAGGCGAGGGCGAUUGCGUUCCCCUCCCGCGCCGUGCCGCCUGUCCGCCUGUGGGACCUGCUCCGUGGGCUUUUCAUCAGCUGCCAUUUUCACCAGCAUGCAGUAAUUUCAUGGCUCAUUGCAAGCGCUGAAAACCUUUGAAACUGCAAAUGUUAACUUUUGCCUGGCCCGGAGCCAUUUAGAAAGCGAUUAAUUCGGCAAACAGACGUGAGCCACUUUCUCCUCCCAAGUUUUCGCAUAAUUUUCCAACCCUUUCUAUCUGGGAUUUGCAUUGCAGGGAACUCGCAGGACAAGGAUAAUAACCAUUCCUGUUAAUUGUGGUUUGGUGAAGAAACAAGGCCUGUCGCUCUGCAGUCUGAUCUACCCGGCUGUCCCAAUCCAGUCCAAACAGGGAGAAUGAACAGAGAAUCGGAUCGAGAAUCAGAGAAAACUGUGUACAAGACUCUUUGAAGGGAGUGGAUAGGACGAAAUGCUGUUGAGGGACUGACAUUGAGAAACAUUUCUGGAUGGCAUGAAGGUUGAUGUGGCUGGCCUCCAAAAUCAUCGUGCCUGAGACCACACAGAUGGGGAUGAGAUAAAACUUCUGGGCGGGGCUAGUGAGCCACCUGUGGCAGUGACAUCAGCACGGCAGAGAUCAGGGGCCCUGUGGUCUCCAUCCCCCACAUCCACCUCGUGUCCUUUUAUCUGUGAUCAUGUAUCACCUGCAGCUACACGUCCAGCUGGAGGAGACAGAUUUCAUCUGUCAUCUUGAAAGACUCCAUUCCCUGUUGUUCUCUCACAUCAAAAUCCAGCGAUAUAUUUGUGUUGCGCAGAGAAGAAAGACAUGGAGAAGAAACCACAACCAAACUUCAUCAGUUCUCGCAUAUAUCGCCAACAUGCCAGCUCAAGACAGCAAAACACAAACCGAAGACGAGCUUCAAAAUGGAGGGACUGAAAAGAGGAAAGGAUGAGUGCAGAGAAAACAAAGAAACGGAGGAAGAAGGGAAGAAAAAGGCAGAGAGAAGAAGGUGUGGAGCAGAAGUGUGGAAGUGUGUUGCUGGGCAAAGGGCUGGCGCUGAACGCGGGGUUGGCAGGCGGGGUGGAGAAGCGGGCACGCUCACAGACAUCUGUUGGCACGCUGCGGAUGCUGAAGGGGGCACGCUGCCAUGACCAGCGGGAACAUGGCACACUGAUAAUGCUGUAGCUAUACUCAGAUACACACUGCGUCUCUAUAGAACGCCACACACACCAGCACUAAUGAUAAAAUAAUCUCACACUAUCGACACGAGCGACGCAGGACACACAGGUUGUGGAUCAAAAUAUCGUAAUUGGCAGCUUGCAGUUUUUAGUUUGGGCAAAAUACUUUUUUAUGAGAAUCUAAGAAAAAUUAUCCUGCAGAAUAAAAAGUGAAUUUAAACUCAUAAAAAUAAAAGUUCUUCAUUGGGAUUGAUGGUUCCAUUAAGAACCUUAAGCAUACUUUCCACUGCAUAAAAGGUUCUUUAUAGAGGAAAACAGUUCUUUAGAAUGUUAAAAUAUUCUUCACACUAGACCUAAAAGAAACUGUUCGCCGAAAGAUUCUUUGGGAAAAAGUUCUUCUGUGGCAUUCACAUCCUUUAAAAAUAAAGGGUGUUUUCACAGUAAUGCCAUAGAAGAACUUCUUUUUUUUUUUUCUCAAAGAACAUUUCAAUGAUGGAAAAGAUCUUGAAAAUACAGAAAAAGCUAUUAAUUGAUUCAUUCAAACAAUAUUCUCAAGGAAAUGUUUUGCUUAAAACAUUUUGAGUAGACAGAGCGGGUAAAAUUUAAAUAAAUUUCCAGUUUUUCCACUUUAGAAAUAGAAGACAAAAAAUGAUCACAUCCUUCAAGGAUUUUAAAGUUCAACCAUGUUUUUAUGAUAUUAUUAUAAAAUAUGAUAUUCAAAACAUUAAAAGAUUACAU